UACAGAGGGUGCGAGCGUUGUUCGGAAUCAUUGGGCGUAAAGCGCUUGUAGGCGGCCUGUCAAGUCGCGUGUGAAAUCCCUGGGCUUAACCAAGGAAGUGCGCGCGAAACUGGCGGGCUUGAGUGCCGGAGAGGGUCGCGGAAUUCCUGGUGUAGCGGUGAAAUGCGCAGAUAUCAGGAGGAACACCGGUGGCGAAGGCGGUUCUCUGGGCAUUACCUGACGCUGAGGAGCGAAAGUGUGGGGAGCGAACAGG
rnacentral:rRNA from 1 species